GUUUACUAUUUCGGAUAUUGAAAAACAGAAGAUGAAUGAAGUUCACGCACGACGUAACACGUUAGGAAGUAUCGAAUUACUUUCACCCAAUAGUCUUGCGUCUGCGCAGUUCGCAGCUUUCCACCGUACUAAAUUACAGUGUGCAUUACUACGAAAGACUUUUCGAAAUGCGCAUUGCAUACGCAGUUCUAAAAUAUGCAGGAAGCAGAUAGGAGCCAAAGAAUUGCUGCUUGAAUUUUUUUCUUUUUCGCUUUUCUUUCGCCGGUGCGUACCAAACUAAUUUACUUAGCUAGAACAAAGAAAAUGGGAAGGGAGAGAUCCUUUUUAAUAGUUCAAACUGAACAAAAAAGUUGGGGCGUAGUAGUAGACAAAGAAGUGGAAGGAAAACAUAAACUAAAAAGAUCCCUUCAGCUACGACUACAUCUACGUUUUUCAGUAAGAGACAACACCCCGGGGUAAGCAAAUGGAACACACAUACAAAAAAACCAUUCGUAUGUCCGUAGGAUGAAUUCAUAGUACCCUGCUCUUUUGUUAUUGGACGUAUGCAAAAGUAUGCUAAAUAGAACGAAAAAGUUGUGAAAUUGGAACCGUAGGUUAAAUGUGCACGUUCUUAACCAACUUUCGAGAACGUCUUUCGGAUUUAACGACUCUUUUCCUGAUCACGUAAGCUCUAGAUUUGGAACAAAUGACGUACCUGCACGACUGAAUAGUGAAGGGUAUUUUGACGUCGCCGAUGGAAAACCUCUGGCCGUCUAUGGUGCAAAGACUGACACCCCAAUACUACAGUAAAUUGACAUUAAAAUUAUGAAAUGUUUGAUUAUUUUAACAAAUUUUUCCUCCUUACGUUCGGACUCAUCCGCUCUAGUUGUGGGAUGUAGGCCGCUACCUGAAAAAAACGAAUACAAGCAUUUGAUGACAUCGAUUCUUACGAAGGAUCUUCUUUGGAGUGAAACGUACCUUUCCAGUGUCGAUUUCUUUACAAGUGUAGUAAAAUUUUUCGAUUUUAUCCGUGAAUUCUUCAAACUCUGGAAUGACAAAUUGGCGACGAAACGCUCGCGAGACGAGCACGAUGUUUUCAUUGAUGGAUCUAACGAAAUAAAAUACACAAACAAAAAUGAAAUUCCA